rnacentral:lncRNA from 1 species
CUCGGUUUCCAUCUGGUCAGCAGUGUCUGCUUGUAAGAGGCGGUCGGGAGCAGGCAGUGGGCAGUCUCUCUGAGAAGGAAGCAGCUGGUCUUCACCCGAGAUUCUGGUUGCGUUCUCUGUUGUUUCCAGCCCCGUGUAUACAAUUCUGCCGUAAGCUCGUGACCUGAGUGACCACGGGGCACAGCCAGGACGUAAGAUAGGCUACAGAUGGAGGACGUACAACUUUACAUGCUGCAGCAGGAGACUGACCUACAGCAGACCACGGGAGC